CACUUCAAGUAACUCACAACCUGCAACCUUUGGAAGGCCUCAGUCUGCAAGACAACAUCAGGACUUUGUCAAGCAAUUAAUGGUCACUAGUUGGGAGAAGAAGAUUGAAAAAAAAAAAAA